rnacentral:rRNA from 1 species
CCUACGGGAGGCAGCAGUGAGGAAUAUUGGUCAAUGGGCUUACGCCUGAACCAGCCAAGUCGCGUGAGGGAAGACUGCCCUAUGGGUUGUAAACCUCUUUUGUCAGGGAGCAACGCCGGCUACGUGUAGCCGGACUGCGAGUCCCUGAAGAAAAAGCAUCGCCUAACUCCGUGCCAGCAGCCGCGGUAAUACGGAGGAUGCGAGGUUUAGCCGGAUUUUUUGGGUUUAAAGGGUGCGUAGGCGGCCUUUUAAGUCAGCGGGGAAAGGCUGUGGCGUAACCACAGAAUGGCCGUUGAAACUGGGAGGCUUGAGUAGGAUUGAGGCAGGCGGAAUGCGUGGUGUAGCGGUGAAAUGCUUAGAUAUCACGCAGAACCCCGAUUGCGAAGGCAGCCUGCCGGGCCAUGACUGACGCUGAUGCACGAAAGCGUGGGGAUCAAACAGGAUUAGAUACCCGUGUAGUC